rnacentral:rRNA from 1 species
UACGUAGGGCGCAAGCGUUGUCCGGAAUUAUUGGGCGUAAAGAGCUCGUAGGUGGCGUGUCGCGUCUGCCGUGAAAGCCCAUGGCUUAACUGUGGGUCUGCGGUGGAUACGGGCAGGCUAGAGGCUGGUAGGGGCAAGCGGAAUUCCUGGUGUAGCGGUGAAAUGCGCAGAUAUCAGGAGGAACACCGGUGGCGAAGGCGGCUUGCUGGGCCAGUUCUGACGCUGAUGCGCGAAAGCCAGGGGAGCGAACGGG